rnacentral:rRNA from 1 species
UACGGAGGAUCCAAGCGUUAUCCGGAUUUAUUGGGUUUAAAGGGUGCGUAGGCGGCUUAUUAAGUCAGAGGUGAAAGCCCGGAGCUUAACUCCGGAACUGCCUUUGAUACUGAUGAGCUUGAAUAUAGUUGAGGUGGGCGGAAUGUGUCAUGUAGCGGUGAAAUGCUUAGAUAUGACACAGAACACCAAUUGCGAAGGCAGCUCGCUAAACUAUUAUUGACGCUGAGGCACUAAAGCGUGGGGAUCAAACAGG